UGGGGAAUAUUGGACAAUGGGCGCAAGCCUGAUCCAGCCAUGCCGCGUGAGUGACGAAGGUCUUCGGAUUGUAAAGCUCUUUUACCAGGGACGAUAAUGACGGUACCUGGAGAAUAAGCCCCGGCUAACUUCGUGCCAGCAGCCGCGGUAAUACGAAGGGGGCUAGCGUUGUUCGGAAUUACUGGGCGUAAAGCGCACGUAGGCGGAUUUGUAAGUCAGGGGUGAAAUCCCGGGGCUCAACCUCGGAAUUGCCUCUGAUACUGGCUGUCUAGAGUUCGAGAGAGGUGAGUGGAAUUCCUAGUGUAGAGGUGAAAUUCGUAGAUAUUAGGAAGAACACCGGUGGCGAAGGCGGCUCACUGGCUCGAUACUGACACUGAGGUGCGAAAGCGUGGGGAGCAAACAGGAUUAGAUACCCCGGUAGUCCCUGAGCGGGCUGGCAAGGCGCAU
rnacentral:rRNA from 1 species